GGAAGCAAAACCAAAAAGAAAGCCAGCCUGCAAAUGUAAAUGCACCAGCUACGUGCCAAGUGAAGGUGCUGAUGCUGUGAUAAGCCUUCAGCUUGGAAGGUCCUUCCCCUGCUCUCCCCCACUGGAUUCAAACCAGGCAGUGAAGCCAGGUCUGUUCCUGGAGCCGUUGGAGGCUCACCGAUGUCUGUCUUCGGACCUCCCUGCUGAUAAAGAUUUAUGUGAUAGGAACAAUUUGGUUGGGGUCAGGAUUUCUCCUCCAUAGAACCCAGGGCUACGUGGGGAGCUGCUGGGAUCCCAGCACAGCCUCUGUCCGGUUUCAGUUACAGCUUGAGGUAUUUUUGCCUCUUCUCUUUGCACGGGAUUUAAAGCUGAGAUAUGCAAACAGAGGCUGUUGUCCACCAAUGUCCUCCAAUGGGCGACUGCUCUCCAGCUCCUUGCAUACAGUAUCUGCACACAGUAGCUUUUGCCUUCUUGCACAAGUAUUUUAAUUGCUAAUUUGCUGGUGUCAUUUAGCUCAGCUUUGGCAUUUAUCACUUGGAUUUAAACUUGUUCAAACCGACGAUUUUCUUGGCUACCUGUGUUAAUAAUUUAAAGGCAAAAGCUCAUCACUAAGUUAUUAUGGGUAAUUAUUUUGUAGCUGGUGUGGAAAUGGUCAUUUCUGCAGCCUUAACGAAUCAUUGAAUCAUAGAAUGGUUUGAAUUGGAAGGGACCUUAAGGACCAUCUGGUCCAACUCCCUGCACUGC
rnacentral:lncRNA from 1 species